rnacentral:rRNA from 1 species
GGGUGGAGCGGGAACCGAGGCGAACGCGGGGAGCGGCGAGGAUGGCGGUGGGGGCGGGCCGCGACGGCGGAGGGGUCGGCGAGAUUAGGGUUAGGGUUUGUGGACGGGAGGAGGGGGAAGCCAGAUGGGACGCGGAGGUGGAGGGGGGACGCGGAUGUGGUGGGGGAAGUAGUAGUAGGAGGCAUGGCUUGGCCGAAGGGGAAGAGAGAGAAACAAAGGGUGGGCGAGGAGAAGG